rnacentral:rRNA from 1 species
UGGGGAAUAUUGCACAAUGGGCGAAAGCCUGAUGCAGCAACGCCGCGUGAGUGAUGAAGGCCUUCGGGUUGUAAAGCUCUGUCUUUUGGGACGAUAAUGACGGUACCAAAGGAGGAAGCCACGGCUAGCUACGUGCCAGCAGCCGCGGUAAUACGUAGGUGGCAAGCGUUGUCCGGAUUUACUGGGCGUAAAGGAUGCGUAGGCGGAUUUUUAAGUGAGAUGUGAAAACCCUAAGCUUAACUUGGGGACUGCAUUUCAUACUGGAAAUCUAGAGUGCGGGAGAGGAGAAUGGAAUUCCUAGUGUAGCGGUGAAAUGCGUAGAGAUUAGGAAGAACACCAGUGGCGAAGGCGAUUCUCUGGACCGUAACUGACGCUGAGGCAUGAAAGCGUGGGUAGCAAACAGGAUUAGAUACCCUGGUAGUCCACGCCGUAAACGAUGAGUACUAGGUGUAGGAGGUAUCGACCCCUUCUGUGCCGCAGUUAACACAAUAAGUACUCCGCCUGGGAAGUACGAUCGCAAGAUU